CUGCCACGCAGAGUUCAGUCUUCACCUUGUCAGCAGCAAAAACAAGCAACAAUCUCACCUGUUUGACUCUGAACGCAGUGAAGCAGAGAUGCCCCGACACAGUACACAGGUAGGUAGGUAGGUAGGUAAGUAGGUAGGUAGUUAGGU